rnacentral:lncRNA from 1 species
UUUACCAAGAUGAUCAUGGAGGGUUUUGCCUACAGGGUGAAACAAGAAUUGAACUAUAAUGUAAGAGAAAGGGAGAGACCCAGCCAGCUCUCGGCCAUUCCAGUCACACUAGCUGAGGUACCUGACGUGUAAGUGAAACCAUCUUGGACUUUAUAGGGCACAUGAAGUUCCCAGCUGACUGCAGUCACACAAGGGAGCCUAGUCAAUACCAUGUGAAGAAGAACCACCAACGGAGCCCAGCUAACUCUCAGAAUCAUGGAAAUAAAAAAGAUAACUGAAACACUAAGCUCCUGGGGCUGGCCCUUGGGGUUCAAGUUUCCCUUCCGUGGUGCCUCUCUCUGUCAUCUCAGCAGUGCUCCUUGCUCCAGCCGCAGUUACCUUUCCUGUGCCACAAGCUCUCAGAACACGGUCCUCCCUUCCCUUCAGUAAUGGUAAGUUUUCUAGAUAAUAAUACUACAGCACUCACUGAUAAUUGUUUUCACCCCUCUGAGGGGUAGCAAGAACUCUCGUUG